GGGUUGGUGGCAUAGUGGGUUAUAGCAUUUGUCUAAUACACGGAAGGUGCUCAGUUCGAGCCUGGGUCAACUCU